rnacentral:sRNA from 1 species
AAUUACGAGAAGUCCUUCCCGUGGAGGGGA